rnacentral:lncRNA from 1 species
GGAUGGUAUGACACCUUCGAAGACUCCUGAGCAUCCUCAGAAAAAAUGUCCAAACUUCUCGCUCUGGAGGUUACAGCCUCCACCAGACUGAAUCCUACCUACUGCUAGAGGGAGGAGAUUCCUUCUGCACCAGCAAGAGAAAUGUUCCCCUGAGUCUAGUAUUGAUGUUCACGGAAAUGCAAAACUGUACAGCUGAAAAAAAAUACGGCUCAGGUACUGAACCUCAUCGAUCGUAAGAGACUUCAGCUUGGGUGCUUUGCAUAGGAUUGCCUACUGCCCUUCCUGCAGCCUUCCCCCUUGGCCAGGCG